rnacentral:rRNA from 1 species
AGUCGGUGAGGUAACCUUUUAGGAGCCAGCCGCCUAAGGUGGGAUAGAUGAUUGGGGUGAAGUCGUAACAAGGUAGCCGUAUCGGAAGGUGCGGCUGGAUCACCUCCUUU